rnacentral:autocatalytically_spliced_intron from 13 species
CUGUUAUUGAACGGCCGUUGUUGUGCGAUGGGGUUCAUACCUUAAUCUGCCAAAACGGGACCUCUGUUGAGGUAUAACCAAUAUUCCGUACUAAGGAUUUCGAUCCAGAACGUCUAGAGACUACACGGUAGACCAAUUUUGGUGGUAUGAAUGGAUAGUCCCUAGUAACCAUCUAGGCAUCCCAUACAAAAUGGUUA